UCUUGGAAGACAAGCCCUUUUUCCUCUUUUUUGCUGCAAAUUGAGGCUUAGUGGGCCGUCAGUGGUGUUGGGCCUGCGCUGGGUCGGGUCCACUGGUGGUGGGCUGCUGGUGGCCUACCAAAAAAAUGGGCUGCUGUUUUUACAUUUUUUCUUUAUUUUAUCUUUUUCUCUCUUUUGCCUUUCAUCUUUCUGUUUCUUCUCUUCUUUUUUCUCUUCAGUUACCUAUUUUACUUCUUUUGCUUGCUGUUUUUUCUGUCUUUGUCUGCUUAUUUGUGGAGGUGCGACGGUGGUGGGAAUGUAAGGGCGGGCCGGCGAGCACGGUGGCGGCGAAGGAGCGGCGGGUUUUUUGAAGUUAUUCUUUUGUUUUUUUGCUACUCUUUUGUUUGCUUUGCUUUUCUAUUUGGUUGCUUGCGACUUUUCAGGUGGUGGGGGCAAGGGAACGACAACGGUGGCGGUGGUUGAACGACGGUGGUGGCAGAUGAGCCAUGAUGGCCUAGGGGGGGCUGCUGGAGUAGCUCGGCUGGGAGGGGUGCGUUCGGCUGCUGCAGCGGCGAUUAGACAAGUCCAGAAGGACUAAUUGCAUAGGAUGCAAAGCUUUUGGGGCAAAAGUGUAAUUUUAGCAAAAAUAUGGGCCAAAAUGUAAUUUAUUAAGAGUUUAGGGGUUAAAGUGAAAUUUUGAGAAAGUCUAAGGGUCGAAAUGUAAUUUUAGAAAGUUUUAGGGUCAAAAUGUAAAUUUUAGAAAGUUUGGGGUCAAAAUGUAAAUUGUGAAAAGUACAGGGGUUAAAAUGCAAAAAAAAAUUUAAAAAUUCUUUUUUUUUAACACGAAAUUAAUCCCGGACAAAAUUCAGUAA